GAGGAUAUAGCUCAGUGGUAGAGCAUCAGCUGAGGAAGACCUGAGUUCCAUCUCUGUUUCUUCA
rnacentral:tRNA from 1 species